rnacentral:rRNA from 1 species
CCUACGGGAGGCAGCAGUGGGGAAUAUUGCACAAUGGGGGGAACCCUGAUGCAGCGACGCAGCGUGAGUGAAGAAGGAUUUCGGUAUGUAAAGCUCUGUCAGCAGGGAAGAAGAAAGACGAUACCUGACCAAGAAACCCCGGCUAACUACGUGCCAGCAGCCGCGGUAAUACGUAGGGGGCAAGCGUUAACCGGAUUUACUGGGUGUAAAGGGUGCGUAGACGGCAGGGCAAGUCUGGGGUGAAAGGCAGGGGCCCAACCCCCGGACUGCUCUGGAAACUGGCAGGCUGGAGUGCAGGAGAGGUAAGUGGAAUUCCUAGUGUAGCGGUGAAAUGCGUAGAUAUUAGGAGGAACACCAGGGGCGAAGGCGGCUUACUGGACUGUAACUGACGCUGAGGCUCGAAAGCGUGGGGAGCAAACAGGAUUAGAUACCCCGGUAGUC